rnacentral:rRNA from 1 species
UUUUUCGGACGGAGUUUCUUUGUCUGAAUGUUUACUUUGAGCAGAUAGGGGUGCUCAAAGCAGGCUUUUGCCUUGAAUAGUUUAGCAUGGAAUAAUAAAGUAGGACUUUGGUUCUAUUUUGUUGGUUUUAGGUACCAAAGUAAUGGUUAAUAGGAACAGUUGGGGGCAUUCGUAUUUAACUGUCAGAGGUGAAAUUCUUAGAUUUGUUAAAGACGAACUACUGCGAAAGCAUUUGCCAAGGAUGUUUUCAUUAAUCAAGAACGAAAGUAAGGGGAUCGAAAAAGAUCAGAUACCGUCCUAGUCC